rnacentral:sRNA from 1 species
AGCGGAAUUCGUGAGACCGCUGUUUCUAAUAUUCACAAAGUGGCUGGCGGCGGGGGGCAGGGACAUCAUUCUCAGCGACUGAGAAGGACAGCUCGUGAAACGAUCAUGUUCAUCCUCUAGCUAGGAGUACGUAUGAGGAGGUGACAUACAACACAAGUAUAACUAAUGCUGUUUUCUGUUGGAUAUAAAAGUGAACAGAGUGAGCCCUAAGAGUUCUCAUCCAAAA